rnacentral:rRNA from 1 species
GAUGAACGCUGGCUACAGGCUUAACACAUGCAAGUCGAGGGGAAACGACGGGGAAGCUUGCUUCCCCGGGCGUCGACCGGCGCACGGGUGAGUAACGCGUAUCCAACCUGCCUCUGACUGAGGGAUAACCCGUCGAAAGUCGGCCUAAUACCUCAUGGCAUCGUCUGCGGGCAUCCAACGACGAUUAAAGAUUUCAUCGGUCAGAGAUGGGGAUGCGUCUGAUUAGCUUGUUGGCGGGGUAACGGCCCACCAAGGCGACGAUCAGUAGGGGUUCUGAGAGGAAGGUCCCCCACAUUGGAACUGAGACACGGUCCAAACUCCUACGGGAGGCAGCAGUGAGGAAUAUUGGUCAAUGGGCGAGAGCCUGAACCAGCCAAGUAGCGUGCAGGAUGACGGCCCUAUGGGUUGUAAACUGCUUUUAUGUGGGGAUAAAGUGAGGGACGUGUCCUUCAUUGCAGGUACCGCAUGAAUAAGGACCGGCUAAUUCCGUG